rnacentral:rRNA from 1 species
CGCGUAGGUAACCUGCCUGGUAGCGGGGGAUAACUAUUGGAAACGAUAGCUAAUACCGCAUAAGAGUAGAUGUUGCAUGACAUUUACUUAAAAGGUGCAAUUGCAUCACUACCAGAUGGACCUGCGUUGUAUUAGCUAGUUGGUGGGGUAACGGCUCACCAAGGCGACGAUACAUAGCCGACCUGAGAGGGUGAUCGGCCACACUGGGACUGAGACACGGCCCAG